UCCGGCGUGGUCUAGUGGCUAGGAUAAAUGGCUUUCACCCAGAAGGCCCGGGUUCGAUUCCCGGCGUCGGAA
rnacentral:tRNA from 1 species